AGCCCCAAGCCCCCAUACUACUUGCUAAAUAGCCCCAGGUAGGGCACUAGCAACAGCCAGCCUAGAUUCAUAGCUUGCCUUUGCCUGGGAACCAAGCUCAGCACAAGUAGCAGCCAUCUCAGACUGCUCUAUAGCCCAUGCAGGGUUGGCCCAGGCAAAACACAGGUGGGAGCUGCCCUUGGUCUGUACUGACUGGGAAACCCCAGCGCCUGUGCAUCCAGUGGACAGCUACAGACCAUGUCAGAGCACAACUACCCUGCCCCUGAACAGCUGACCCUUCAUGGGGGGGCAGAGGUUGGUGAACAGUGGUCACAGGCAGCCCUUACAUCUGACUAGCCUGGCUAAAUCCAUCCUGUUUACCUGCCAAUAGCAAUCAAGGCUCAAUUACAAGAGGAGGGUAUACUCAGCCAACAAAGAGGGCAUACCUGCUACAU